rnacentral:rRNA from 1 species
GAUGAACGCUAGCGGCAGGCUUAACACAUGCAAGUCGAGGGGUAUAGGUUUUCGGACCUAGAGACCGGCGCACGGGUGCGUAACGCGUAUGCAAUCUACCUUUUGCAGAGGGAUAGCCCAGAGAAAUUUGGAUUAAUACCUCAUAGUAUAACGCAAUCGCAUGAUUGAGUUAUUAAAGUAACAACGGCAAAAGAUGAGCAUGCGUCCCAUUAGCUAGAUGGUAAGGUAACGGCUUACCUUGGCUACGAUGGGUAGGGGUCCUGAGACGGAGCUCCCCCACACUGUUACUGAGCCGCGGACCAUACUCCUACGGGAGGCAGCAGGGAGGAAUAUUUGUCAAUUGACGCAAUGCUGAACCGGCCAUGCCGCGUGCAGGAUGACGGUCCUAUGGAUUGUAAACUGCUUUUGUACAGGAAGAAACACUCCUUCGUGAAGGAACUUGACGGUACUGUAAGAAUAAGGAUCGGCUAACUCCGUGCCAGCCGCCGCGGUAA